rnacentral:sRNA from 1 species
AACUGGUGGCGCACUUGGGCAAGUUCUUGGUGGGCUCACGUGUACUUUUAAGAAAGGAUACGCAUGAAAAAAGCCCGCCAACUCAGCGGGCUUUUUU